rnacentral:rRNA from 1 species
UACAGAGGGUGCGAGCGUUGUCCGGAAUCACUGGGCGUAAAGGGCGCGUAGGUGGUGGCUUAAGCGUGCGGUGAAAGCUCGGGGCUCAACUCCGAGUCGGCCGUGCGAACUGGGCUCACUGGAGCAUAGUAGAGGCAGGUGGAAUUCCGGGUGUAGCGGUGGAAUGCGUAGAGAUCCGGAAGAACACCGGUGGCGAAGGCGGCCUGCUGGGUUAUGACUGACACUGAGGCGCGACAGCGUGGGGAGCAAACAGG